AUUUGUUGUAACCUCCGCCAGAGAUGCCCAUUAACACCACUAAGUACCCCAUUUCCUGGAAGGCAUGUGGUUCCCCAUCAGAUAAGAAGAAAUGGCUGCAGGGAAGAUAAGGCAGCUGUACCAACAUCACCCUUAGUAUCUGGUCACUGUGCUAUUCUUUUUGCUGUGAUGUACCAGAAUUUAUCACCCUGUGAAACCACAGAAAUCCUGCUGGAACAAUUACAGAUCCAUGAAGGAUUCGGGUAAGC
rnacentral:lncRNA from 1 species